GACGAACGCUGGCGGCGUGCCUAAUACAUGCAAGUAGAACGCUGAAGGAGGAGCUUGCUUCUCUGGAUGAGUUGCGAACGGGUGAGUAACGCGUAGGUAACCUGCCUGGUAGCGGGGGAUAACUAUUGGAAACGAUAGCUAAUACCGCAUAAGAGUAGAUGUUGCAUGACAUUUGCUUAAAAGGUGCAAUUGCAUCACUACCAGAUGGACCUGCGUUGUAUUAGCUAGUUGGUGAGGUAACGGCUCACCAAGGCAACGAUACAUAGCCGACCUGAGAGGGUGAUCGGCCACACUGGGACUGAGACACGGCCCAGACUCCUACGGGAGGCAGCAGUAGGGAAUCUUCGGCAAUGGACGGAAGUCUGACCGAGCAACGCCGCGUGAGUGAAGAAGGUUUUCGGAUCGUAAAGCUCUGUUGUAAGAGAAGAACGAGUGUGAGAGUGGAAAGUUUCACACUGUGACGGUAUCUACCAGAAAGGG
rnacentral:rRNA from 1 species